rnacentral:snRNA from 1 species
UGUCUUACCUGGCAGGGGAGAUACCAUGAUCACGAAGGUGGUUUUCCCAGGGCGAGGCUUAUCCAUUGCACUCCGGAUGUGCUGACCCCUGCGAUUUCCCCAAAUGUGGGAAACUCGACUGCAUAAUUUGUGGUAGUGGGGGACUGCGUUCGCGCUCUCCCCUA